rnacentral:lncRNA from 1 species
UCUUUACUUCUCAGUUAUUCUCAAAAGUUGAUCAGUCUCUUUCUUAUUGUUUCCUCUCUGUGCAGGAGACAGAUGGCAGGUGUUUCACAAUUACAAGUCACUGUGUGCUACUUCCACGGCUGUAAAGUUGAAAGAGUGACUUCAGCUCCCAUUCAUUCUCAGCUUGUUUGUUGUUUCGGCUUAAAUGUCUGCAGACCAGAAUCAAUGAAGAUGAGCAAGUCAACUCCACAAUGCUUCAUCUGACUCCAACAAAAUCUGUUAUUUUUAUUUUUAUUCUCAAUUUUCUGGAUGGUGAGUCUUUAACACCAGGCAAACGGUGAGCAACUGAAGAGCACAGCAGCCUCACAAUGACAUUUGAAAAUUUACUCUGAAAUACGGUAUUACUGUAUUUAAAUAUUGUACUGUAUGAAUACAAAACUAUACUAAUCUGUAAAGUAAGCUUAACACUGUGUUCAUUUUCAUUGAUAUCUUUGGAGCAUUAUUGUCAAGAAUAGUAUAUUUUGGAAAAAAAUCAAUAUCUUAGGUCAUGGAAUUGUACAAAAUCAGGAAACAUGCUUUAAGUAGGAUUUCCUAAACACAGAAGACAAAUGUGCAGCUGAAGAUGGAAGGACCCCCAACCUUUCUCUGUUUACAUGUUUGGUUUAAAUUAUUAGCGAGGUGCACAUGUUCAUCUCAAUGUGAAAUGUUUCUGUCCUUUCCUGUGCUUUUUCAAUGGCCAUAAAGUUUGGAAUAAAUCAGCAAAGUUUAAAUAAGAAUAAUUACUA